rnacentral:rRNA from 1 species
UCCAGACUCCUACGGGAGGCAGCAGUGAGGAAUAUUGGUCAAUGGGCGAGAGCCUGAACCAGCCAAGUCGCGUGAGGGAGUACUGCCCUAUGGGUUGUAAACCUCUUUUGUCGGGGAGCAAAAGCCGGACGUGUCCGGCUGUGAGAGUACCCGAAGAAAAAGCAUCGGCUAACUCCGUGCCAGCAGCCGCGGUAAUACGGAGGAUGCGAGCGUUAUCCGGAUUUAUUGGGUUUAAAGGGUGCGCAGGCGGAGGUGCAAGUCAGCGGUCAAAUUGCGGGGCUCAACCCCGUACUGCCGUUGAAACUGCAUCCCUUGAGUGCGCGAGAAGUAUGCGGAAUGCGUGGUGUAGCGGUGAAAUGCAUAGAUAUCACGCAGAACUCCGAUUGCGAAGGCAGCAUACCGGCGCGCAACUGACGCUCAUGCACGAAAGCGUGGGUAUCGAACAGGAUUAGAUACCCGUGUA